rnacentral:rRNA from 1 species
AUAGUGUAUAUUAAAGUUGCUGCAGUUAAAAAGCUCGUAGUUGGAUUUCGGAUAGUAAAAAUUUAACAUCCAUCUCUAAGAUGUGAUUUAAUUUUUACUUCCUUCCUUUUGAAUACACUCCUUAAAAUUUAUUUUAAGGAACUCAGUGUUUCAAAUCGUUUACUGUGAAGAAAUUAGAGUGUUCAAAGCAGGCGUAACCUAGCCUUUGAAUAUAUUAGCAUGGGAUAAUGAAAUAGGACUUUAGUCCUACUUUCGUUGGUUUCUAGGGCUGAAGUAAUGAUUAAUAGGGAUAGUUGGGGUCACUAGUAUUUAAUUGUCAGAGGUGAAAUUCUAAGAUUUAUUAAAGACUAACAACUG